ACUGUGCCAAUAAGCAAUUUGACGUAUUUGCAACGCUCUUUUGGCAAACUAUUAAUAUAGCCAAACAUUGCGAAACUUGCUUAUAGUUUGGUAAAAUUCUACCUGAUAAACAUACGAUUCUAUAAUUGUUUUCAACAAAAAAAUAGCAAAUGUUAAAGUACCAUACCAAACACCAAUGUCUCCUUAGCAUCACUGACGGACAUAAAUUGAAGAAUAAUACAGAAUCUAAAGGGCCAAAACGUCGACCUAAACAGAUUGAUGAAAUAAAUGAUCAUAAACUCUUCAAAGCAGCACUAAUACUAAAAUCUAUUCCAAAACGACCAUGAAAUAAGAUGAUCUUUCAACUUCAAAUCGACGAGCUGAAAACUUCGGGAUCAACAACUCGGCAGUUUUAGUUUCACGAGUUGGCACAUUGUUCAAAAGAAGCUGUGACGGAGAUCUACUAUUUAGACCAUGAGUCGAAUCUCAACGAAUUUAUCACGUCCAUUUAGCACUUGUUUCCAACGAAUACGUCACUGGGUUCAAACUGGCCAUGGCCUGACACGAAGAUGGGCGGACAGGAAAAACCCGAUUUGUGGACAACAAUGCCCAACUGUUGAGUUGCAAAGCGCUAAUCGACACUUUUAGAUUCUAAUCAUAGUGCCAACACAACAAAUAAAGAGUGAAUCGAGAAGAACGGAUCUCACUUCAAGGGCGUAUUCGGCAUGUGAAAUAAAACAAGUGAAAAUUUUUUCAAUGUUAUUUGACUUUCGUUUGAAUUCUUGCAAUAACAUCGCAAUAAAUAAUUGAUUAACGUUGAA